GACGAACGCUGGCGGCGUGCUUAACACAUGCAAGUCGAACGGAAAGGCCUCUUUCUUGGGUUACUCGAGUGGCGAACGGGUGAGUAACACGUGAGUAACCUGCCCUUGUCUUUGGGUUAACUUCAGGAAACUGGGGCUAAUACCGGCUAGGAAAUCCUGCUGCCUGGAUGGGGUUGGAAAGUUUCGGCGGCUUGGGGUGGCCUCGCGGCGUAUCCGCUUUUCGUUGGGGUAGUGGUUUACCAAGGCCUUGCCGGGUCGCCGGUCUAUGGGAGUGAGCGGCCACCUUGGCACCGAGGGACGGCACAGACAGCUACGGGAGGCAAAAGGGGGGAAUACUGCAGAAGGGGUGGAAGCCGGAUGCAGCAAGUCCGCGUGCGGGAAGACUGCGUUAGGGUUGUAAAACGUUUUUGCUCAUGACGAAGCAUUGUGUGACGGUAGUGGGUAAAGAAGCACCGGCUAACUACGUG
rnacentral:rRNA from 1 species